GAUGAAGAACGUAGCGAAAUGCGAUACUUGGUGUGAAUUGCAGAAUCCCGUGAACCAUCGAGUCUUUGAACGCAAGUUGCGCCUGAAGCCAUUAGGCUGAAGGCACGUCUGCCUGGGCGUCACACGUCGUUGCCCCCCCAUCUACUCCUUCGGGAUUGCGGGGGGCGGAUGAUGGCCUCCCGUGCGCCUCGUCGCGCGGUUGGCAUAAAUGCCAAGUCCUCGGCGACGCACGCCACGACAAUCGGUGGUUGCGAAACCUCGGUUGCCCGUCGUGUGCGGUCGUCGCGCAUCGAGGGCUCGAAAAAAUUGCCGGGCUCCGGCUCGGCUUUCAACGCGACCCCAGGUCAGGCGGGGUUACCCGCUGAAUUUAAGCAUAUCAAUAAGCGGAGGA
rnacentral:misc_RNA from 1 species